GCUGGCAGCUAGCUCUUUGCAACUGUCACCCACUGAAGCUAAGCAGGGCUGCGCCUGGUCAGUACCUGGAUGAGAGACCACAUGAGAAAGCUAGGUUGCUGCUGGAA
rfam:Danio rerio chromosome 14 genomic contig CTG10412, GRCz11 reference primary assembly.